rnacentral:rRNA from 1 species
GAUGAACGCUAGCUACAGGCUUAACACAUGCAGGUCGAGGGGAAACGACAUCGAAAGCUUGCUUUUGAUGGGCGUCGACCGGCGCACGGGUGAGUAACGCGUAUCCAACCUGCCCAUCACUUGGGAAUAACCUUGCGAAAGUAAGACUAAUACCCAAUGAUAUCCCACGAAGGCAUCGGAAUGGGAUUAAAGAUUUAUCGGUGAUGGAUGGGGAUGCGUCUGAUUAGCUUGUUGGCGGGGUAACGGCCCACCAAGGCAACGAUCAGUAGGGGUUCUGAGAGGAAGGUCCCCCACAUUGGAACUGAGACACAGUCCAAACUCCUACGGGAGGCAGCAGUGAGGAAUAUUGGUCAAUGGGCGAGAGCCUGAACCAGCCAAGUAGCGUGCAGGAAGACGGCCCUAUGGGUUGUAAACUGCUUUUAUAAGGGAAUAAAGUGGGUCACGUGUGACUUUUUGCAUGUACCUUAUGAAUAAGGACCGGCUAAUUCCGUG